AAUGAACGCUGGCGGCAUGCCUUACACAUGCAAGUCGAACGGCAGCAUGACCUAGCUUGCUAGGUUGAUGGCGAGUGGCGAACGGGUGAGUAAUGCAUCGGAACGUGCCUUUUAGUGGGGGAUAACGUAGCGAAAGUUACGCUAAUACCGCAUAUUCUCUGAGGAGGAAAGCAGGGGACCUUCGGGCCUUGCGCUAGAAGAGCGGCCGAUGUCGGAUUAGCUAGUUGGUGAGGUAAAGGCUCACCAAGGCAACGAUCCGUAGCGGGUCUGAGAGGAUGAUCCGCCACACUGGGACUGAGACACGGCCCAGACUCCUACGGGAGGCAGCAGUGGGGAAUUUUGGACAAUGGGCGCAAGCCUGAUCCAGCCAUGCCGCGUGAGUGGAGAAGGCCUUCGGGUUGUAAAGCUCUUUCGGCUGGGAAGAAAUCGCACCCUCUAAUACAGGGUGUGGAUGACGGUACCAGCAUAAGAAGCACCGGCUAACUACGUG
rnacentral:rRNA from 1 species